GGAACUGCCCUGUGGAGACAAGGACAUACCUCCUCCUCUGCUCCUGCUCACAGUGACACUGAUCUGAUAAAGCCCCCAUUCUGUCUGACCCUGCCCUGGGCAACAGGCUCCUCUGCUGGGUGUUCCUGGGUUUCCUAGGGACAGAUCACACAGGUGCUGGAGUCUCCCAGUCUCCCAGGUACAAAGUCACAAAGAGGGGACAGGAUAUAGCUUUCAGUUGUGAUCCAAUUUCGGGUCAUGAAAUGCUGUAUUGGUACUGACAGACCCUGGAGCAGAGCCCAGAGUUUCUGACUUACUUCCAGUAUGAAGCUCAACUAGACAAAUCAGGGCUGCCCAGUGAUCGGUUCUCUGCAGAGAGGGCUGGGGGAUCCUUCUCCACUCUGAAGAUCCAGCGCACAGAGCAGCAGGACUCUGCUGUGUAUCUCUGUGCCAGCAGCUCAGCCACAGUGUGGCACAGUCGCCUCCUUCCUGCUCACAAACCUCCUCCUCUCCCUCCUGGCAGCUCCUAGAGACCCUUAACAGAGGCCUCUCCUUGCUCCUCACUUUUCAUGGGAAAGAAGCAGAUUUGGACCUCAGCUGUCGUUUGGGUAGAAAGAGACAACAGAUCCAUUCCUGAAACAGUGACUGCAAAUGGAGGUGGUGAAAACAAUCACGGCCCAUGCGUUCUAGGAGUCCCGAGAGCCAGCUCACUGCUCCAAGCAAGGUGUGGAUGUCUUUGCCUUGGCCUUUAGGGCAGAAUGCAUUUUCUAGAGGUCUUGGCGGUUGCUGUGCUGCCCAAGUACGUGAGGUUGUCAUGGGCAGGAA